rnacentral:rRNA from 1 species
UACGAAGGGGGCUAGCGUUGCUCGGAAUCACUGGGCGUAAAGCGCACGUAGGCGGACUCUUAAGUCAGGGGUGAAAUCCUGGAGCUCAACUCCAGAACUGCCUUUGAUACUGGGAGUCUCGAGUUCGGGAGAGGUGAGUGGAGCUGCGAGUGUAGAGGUGAAAUUCGUAGAUAUUCGCAAGAACACCAGUGGCGAAGGCGGCUCACUGGCCCGGUACUGACGCUGAGGCACGAAAGCGUGGGGAGCAAACAGGG